AGAGUUUGAUCAUGGCUCAGGACGAACGCUGGCGGCGUGCUUAACACAUGCAAGUCAAGGGGAUCCGGUGGCAACAUCGGGUAACCGGCGAACGGGUGCGUAACACGUGAGCAAGCUUCCGAUUUGUGGGGGAUAGCCGGCCCAACGGCCGGGUAAUACCGCAUACGUUCACUGGACGGCAUCGUCUGGUGAGGAAAACUCCGGUGCAAAUCGAGGCGCUCGCGGCCUAUCAGCUAGUUGGCGGGGUAACGGCCCACCAAGGCUAUGACGGGUAGCUGGUCUGAGAGGAUGGCCAGCCACAUUGGGACUGCGACACGGCCCAGACUCCUACGGGAGGCAGCAGUGGGGAAUAUUGCGCAAUGGACGAAAGUCUGACGCAGCGACGCCGCGUGUGGGAUGACGCCUUUCGGGGUGUAAACCACUGUUGCCCGGGACGAAACUCCUUUUUCGAGAGGAUUGACGGUACCGGGUGAAGAAGCACCGGCUAACUCUGUGCCAGCAGCCGCGGUAAUACAGAGGGUGCGAGCGUUGUCCGGAAUCACUGGGCGUAAAGGGCGCGUAGGUGGCCAGGUAAGCGUGUGGUGAAAGUCCGGGGCUCAACCCCGGAUCUGCCGUGCGAACUGCCAGGCUUGAGCAAUGUAGAGGCAGGUGGAAUUUCGGGUGUAGCGGUGGAAUGCGUAGAUAUCCGAAAGAACACCAGUGGCGAAGGC
rnacentral:rRNA from 1 species